UGCUCGCUAAUUGUCCGCCUGUUGCAAUUUCUCCGUCCGGCCAAGCGAUUGCAAUUAGUACGGCAUCCCGACGUCUGCGGCACGUCAAAUUUCAAACUCGUUUCCGUACUCCCUCGCCACUCGCCACCCGACUCCCAUGUGCUCCCAUGUGCGUGGAGCUAUUUUUGGUGAUAUCCCGAAAACAAUGGCCACAAAAAGAGAAAAAUGGGAAACGAGAGAAUGAAGUUGGCUUAAAAUAGCAUAUAGACUGGGGAAUAUCCAAGCAUAGCUCAGAUAAUAAAUUGGUUGGAUUUAUUUUUCAUUUUUUUCUUAUCUACAUAUGUAGAAUGUAUGUAAAAAAGACAGUUAACAAACAUAUUACGUAUACGACUAGUUGUACUUUUAAAACAGUUGCUUUGUUUGAAUGGAAGCGGUUCUGAUCGAUAUAUUAAAGAUAAAUAAAAAAUAAAAGAUUUAAUUGGCAUCCAUGUUCUACUUGUCACGUACUAAUAGCUUCCAUGAAUAUACCCAUCCAUGCCAUGGCACCCUGGGAAAGCCAGUGUGUCUGAAUCGGUGGGAAUACAUUGGGCUGAUCUGGCUGGCCAUUUGGCCGGUCGGCAUUUGGCGUUGUCUUUCAGUUUUAAUUUUUUUCUCUUUUUUUUUUUUGCCGGCAUUCGACAGAUGAGCUGAGGCAGUGCAUCGCAUCCAAAUCCGCAUCCAUGGGCCUCACCGGCACUCAUCGUACAGGGUGCCUUUGGGCCAGGGGCAUCUGUCAAUUUGGAUUUUGAUUAGCGAACGCCUUCAAUUGCUGGCAUUCGGGGCUUUCGUUUUGACAGCGAUGUGCGGACUUCCUGUAUCGCAUCACGACUGCAAGAUAUAUGAAAGACAAGUGUUUCGAACGUCCCGUCGUAUCCCCCCACAGAGCGCUGUGUAAACAAAGCGCCAAGCAAGCGCAAGACAAAAUAUUCUAAAAUUAAUUUUCGAAAAUGUCUUUUCGGCUCUGCAAGCGCAGCGACAUGAAGCGGGACAAAUGCCGUAUAUAGAUACACCCAAUGGUAGUGUCUCUGAUGAGCAAAUGCAAUUAUGUGGAAAAGCCGAGGGGCAAACAAGGAGUACGGGGUAAUGAAUAGAGCCACGAAAUGGAGCAAGUACUCUUUCAUUUUCCCCUGGCCCAGCCAAUGUGUGUUUGCAUGUGGAAAGCCACACUGAUGACAGACAAGCCACAGCUCUGAAAGUCACAGGAUAACACAAGCUAGUACACAGGGAAGCCACUCACACUUUGACUAAAGAUAGUGCAGGGAAGACAUAUAGCUUCAGUUAAUAAACAGUUUUUAUUAAACGAAUUUCAAGUUUUAUUUUGUUAAACAUUAUAGAAAAAAACAUUUCCCUGUCCUUCUAAUGAAAUAGUACUGUCCGAUGUCGAGUGCUAUAUUUUUGGCGCCAUCUGUGCGUGUGCGAAUAUGAAUUUCUCAGGACAGCUGCUCGUGAUCCUUUUGGCGUCGAGAAAUCAGCGUUCAAAUAUGAUUAAUAAGUAAUUUCUUUGUCAACAACCGACUGGGAUGGCCUGGGAUGACGACAGCGAUAACGAAUACAAUAUAGCACACAUAUAAUAUAUAACGACAGCGACUACGAGUGGAGCUGAAGGGAACGACGCCAUGGAAAUCUUUAAUAAAAUACAUGUAUAAAUAAAUUAUAGGGCGAGCCGAGGCAGGGAAAUAAAGUGGGGAGAGAUGAACUGCGCUGAAUGGAUGCGAACGGGUAAUAAAACAAAGCGACGACGUCGGAGAUACAAAGAUGUGGCUAAAAGGAGGUGCCAGGGGAGUGGCUGCAGGGACGGUGGCUUAUAUGCAAGCGGAGCGUGACCGCACUUCCUUUUAGCCUGGAUCUCCGGCCUCCACCGACCCCACUCCGGCAGCGGCUCCUUGGCCUUGGCUGCUCCCUGUUUAUUUCACAGUUGUAAAUUGCACAAAGUAAAUGAAGUACUUUUUAUUAUAAGCCAACAAGCCAAAGUUGCCUAUUCAAUACACAAGGAAAAAGCUUACAAAUAUUUCUACAGUUAAAGGUCUCAAAAUUGAAAGGAAAUUUUAAUUGGCAUUUAAAUAAAUCAACACUUAGUUAUUAAAUUAUUAUGCCAUUAAAAUGUCAACAAAGCAAAA